rnacentral:rRNA from 1 species
UACGUAGGGUGCGAGCGUUAAUCGGAAUUACUGGGCGUAAAGCGUGCGCAGGCGGUGAGCUGUGUCCGAUGUGAAAGCCCCCGGGCUUAACCUGGGAAUGGCAUUGGAAACUGGCUCGCUGGAGUGUGGCAGAGGGGGGUGGAAUUCCGCGUGUAGCAGUGAAAUGCGUAGAGAUGCGGAGGAACACCGAUGGCGAAGGCAGCCCCCUGGGCUAACACUGACGCUCAGGCACGAAAGCGUGGGGGAGCAAACAGG